rnacentral:tRNA from 2 species
GGCAGGUUGCCCGAGCGGCCAAUGGGAGCGGACUGUAAAUCCGUCGGCUAUCGCCUUCGCAGGUUCGAAUCCUGCACCUGCCA